AGUCUACAUAAAAUUUCACAAGUCACAUUAGACAUAUAUAUACAUAGUCAGCUUAAAAGAUCCUGGCAUCUAAGCAUUUUCAUUAAACACACUUAAACAUAGAUAAACUUCAAAGGUUAAUCUUCAGAUCUGGUGGUCUUGCCAAAUAGCUUAUGAUAUAGCAUAACUUUUCCCAGGCCAUCUGACCCAGAGCAGGUGGCACACAGGUGGUGUUUUUGAAAGGUGUGUACAGAUAGAUAGUGCUUGUGGAACAAGAAGGGAACACAUUGCUUUACUGAUUUUAGUGUUGCAAUUCUCUGCACCUAAUUAAUAUCUCAUGACAAGAAUCUUCAUCUUCAAGAAGGUAAAUUUGAAUGAGAUUUGCUUUUUCUUAGCCCUACACACAUCAUACAAAUGUAUGGGCUUCCUAUUCCAUAUUGUGUAUCCAUUUUGAAUAUGUACUAUAGGACUUGAUUGAACAGGAAGGAAUUUCUAGUUGAAGACAGAACGUAAUUUUGGGAAUUCCACACAAGUAAUGAUUCACUUCAUUAUCAUAAACCAGAAAUUUUUGAAAACUCAGCUACAGAGUAAGUCUGCUUACUAAUAAAACACAUAUUUCAAAAUACUAAAAAAGGUUGAAGAAGAUAAUUAAAGAAUAAAUUACUACAGCCAAAGGUGCAUUCUAGGAGGAAAAUAGUAGCUAGUUCUGUGUACUGGGAUUAACAUAAAUUUUAAUUCAAAAAGGAAAGCAAAGCACUUGGGAAGGAAAAAUCAAUGUAAGGACACAGCACACAGAAGGACAUAGCUGGAAACCCCAAGAAACACAAAGAUCUCACAACUAUUCCGCAUCAAAAGUUAGAAAGUCUAUGUUCAGCUCUGUUAGUGAAGGACUACAUUCAGCUCUUUAAACCAAUCACCAUAACAACUCAGUGGGGAAUACAGGUAAUUUAGAAACAAAGUAACACAGUAAGAAACCGCUUCAUGAUGCAAGACUGGAGCACUUGGUGAUAUUUGCUGCAUAAAAGACCAGCAGGGGAAUAGCAAUCUGCUAAUAGAUCACUACCAUCACAGGAUGGUGAGUCCACCACUACCUUGGGAAGCCAGUUCCUGACCACCCUUCCAAUGAAGAAGUUUUUCCCAAUAUCCAAUCUAAACCUCAUCUGGUGCAGCUUGAUGCCAUUUCCUCUGGUCCUGUCACUUGCUACCUGGGAGAAGGCUACAGAAGUGAGAGUACUGAUAUUUGCUGUUUGAUAAUACAAUGAAUUUGAGGAUUACUACUUCUCCAAAGUGGCCAUGAGAUCUGAUUCAGAACAUAUGGAUGGAAGAGAUCUCCUGAAAUAAUAUGGAAAUAACUGGUGAUGAAGCUGAAUGGAACCACAUUGAGAAGAUUUCCACCCAAACACUGCAUGACAGACUGCAUACUGUUGGAAUUACAGUAGAAAAACAAGUUCUGGUUGCUACAGUCUAAGAAAAUAGUAGGUUCAUACACCAGCACUAUACAGAAGAGCUGCUGUACUCUGAGGAAAGGGAUGUGGGCAAUGUUACAUAACACAGAUCGCACUUUAACUGCAAGUACUAUUGCUGGACCACUUUCCAGGCUGCUAUUCUCCAGUUAUGUGCUAGGAGCACUUCUGUCUGUCCUUGUACUCUCCCUGAACUCCUAAAGGCAUCAGGUCUUGCUGAAUUGCUCUGCUCGCACACUACAAAUGCCCCCUUCUGGCAAAGCACCACUCUGCUUCUCUACAAGAGAAACCUUGUAUUUGGUCUGUAGCUUUUCUUUGAAAAUUUUAGUUAGUAAAAACCCAAUUAUGACACGGUGCUUCGGGGAUAAGAGGUUGGCAAAAUCAUAGAUGGAGACAGGAAGGAAAACACACAAGGCUUCUAGAUCUUACCUGAUCAAAAUCUGUAAAGCCAAAAUAUUCAUUGUUGGUACGGAAAAGAAAAAAACCUCCUUUCCAUGAAUUUAACCUAAGACAUUGCAAAAAGUUUUCCCUACAAUCAUUAAGGAACACAGCAUUGUGUAUCACAAUCAUGUGUACUCUAAUACAUGGCAAAGUAGCUAGAAAAUUGGAUUACUAUCCAGAAAGUAAUUAAUUUAAAUUAAUGCUUUAGGAGGCACAGUGUAUUCUCCAAAGAAACCUCUAAGCAGAAAUCUUGAAUGUGCACAAUAAGUAAAUUGUAAAUGCAAGAGACACUAAAAAUAACUGAUGCUUUUCAGUGUAUGCAAAACUGUACUUAAAAUUUUUAUUAAAAAACCUGUAACCACUUCACUAUGUUAUCCCACAAAGUGCAGCACAACAACCUCUGUGAAAGAGAAUUCUAAAGAAAGUAGUUCUUCAUAUCUUCUUUAACGUCUACUCAAUCUUUUCAUCAGUAACUGCUAUAUUUCAUUCAGACUAUUAUGACAAACAA